rnacentral:tRNA from 1 species
GGGGUUGUAGCUCAGUGGUACAGUGCUUGCCUCACACACAUGAGGCCCUGGGUUCAAUCCCAGGCACCA